rnacentral:rRNA from 1 species
GGUGUGUACUGGUCUUGAUGGAAGCUUACCUCUUGGUGGGUCGGCAUGCCCUUCGUUGGGUGUGUCGAUUAACCAGGACUUUUACUUUGAGAAAAUUAGAGUGUUCAAAGCAGGCUUUCGCCCGGAUACAUUAGCAUGGAAUAAUAGAAUAGGACGCGCGUCUUUAUUUUGUUGGUUUCUAAAUUCGCCGUAAUGAUUAAUAGGGAUAGUCGGGGGCAUUCGUAUUGCUUGGUCAGAGGUGAAAUUCUUGGAUUCUAGCAAGACGAACUACUGCGAAAGCAUUUGCCAAGGAUGUUUUCAUUGAUCAAGAACGAAGGUUAGGGGAUCGAAAACGAUCAGAUACCGUUGUAGUCUUAACAGUAAACUAUGCCGACUAGGGAUCGGACAAGCACAAUCUAUGACUUGUUCGGCACCUGAAGAGAAAUCUUUAAGUCUAGGUUCGGGGGGGAGUAUGGUCGCAAGGCUGAAACUUAAAGGAAUUGACGGAAGGGCACCACCAGGUGUGGAGCCUGCGGCUUAAUUUGACUCAACACGGGGAAACUCACCAGGUCCAGACACAAUAAGGAUUGACAGAUUGAUAGCUCUUUCUUGAUCUUGUGGUUGGUGGUGCAUGGCCGUUCUUAGUUGGUGGAGUGAUUUGUCUGGUUAAUUCCGAUAACGAACGAGACCUUAACCUGCUAAAUAGACCCGGGGCCUUAGGGAACCGGCUGUCUUCUUAGAGGGACUGUAGG